UAUCAAAGGAUUGGGGGGAUGUGCUAGUGUGAUUGGCACUUUACAGUCAGACACUUUGUAGUAUAUAAAAAGACAAUGAUGUACUUAACAAGUUGAUAAUUUCUUUUCUAUUCAGAUGAGUUACACAUACUUUUAUAUUUAUGGACAUGUUACAUAUAUUCUGGCAUUUACAUAUUUUGCAUUCAGCCAGUCAUUACCAACAAGUUAAGUGCAUCACUGCCCUCUUAAAUAGUAACUAAUAAAUUCUACUUAAACCAGUUUUCCCAUUUGUUAAUUAUGUGAAGUACUUUCGUUCUCCUGAUAGUUGAUGAUAUCAACAUAAUUUGCUGAUACAACAUAAAAUGACAUAAAAUAGGUAUGUAGAUAUUUUAUAUCUAUUGAGAUAUCCAUCUCUGACAGGUGUUUGGAAUAUGGGUUUUAAUUUUGAUCGUGGAGGAAGCUGAUCAAGCCUGUGGCAAAGACCAGUGAUUUUUCAUCAUGGUGUGAAGAUACUGAUGCUGAUGUAAAUGAGUUGCAGUACUAUUUGUCUUGUAUGUAUCCCUGAUCAUAGUGAAGGUUGCAGUGUUCCUGAUCCCUCAAUACCUCCUUGACAAACAAGUGGAUCUGCAAUUUUGCCAUUCCUUUAUAGAUGUGUUGAUAUUUUCUACUCUGAUGCUGUAAAUAAACUGUAUUGCCUUAC